ensembl:lncRNA
UACAAAUGCAUAAAUAAUGUUUUAUGCAUUUAUAAUUGGGGAAGUCAAUUAUUUGAGAGAUGUUCUGAAAUGUAAUGCACAGUUUACAGCUUUUAUCCCCUUUUUGGUAAUUUCAUGACUUAAAGGGAUAGUUCACCCAAAAAUGAAAAUUCUGUCAUCAUUUACUCACCCUCAUGUCGUUCUGUAUGAGUUUCUUUCUUAUGUUGAACAUAAAAUAAGAUAUUCUGAAGAUUGCUUUUAGCCAAACAGUUGGUGGUUCCCAUUGACUUCCUUAGUAGGAAAAAAAAUACUACGGAAGUCAAUGGCAACCAUCAACUGUUUGGUUACCAUCAACCAGCACCUCUUGAGCAAGAUAUUAUCAUGUAUGACUUUCUCAAAAGAAGGCUCGACUUCCGGUCGAUGAGUAUAUGUAUUCUUCACAGGAAGCUUUGGCUUUGAGGUUGAUGACAUUUAUAUUACUUUUUGUGACUCGUGGGCGUGUAUAAAUCGCUCCAUCUCAGACACACAGCAGACUCAGAGCAGCAGUGGAGACUCUUUCCAGCUCAUCAGUGAAAUGAAUGGCAGAACAUCUGUGGAGCUUCACAAACUGCAGGAAUCACGAAAUGACCAGCAAAGAGGACAAGAGACAGAAGAGAAACAGAGCAAGAAACGAGUCAGACGGAGCAGCUCUGUUAUAGACACACCAAACUGUGAGUGUUUAUGAUCUUUAUUCUGUGGCGUAUCGGACGUCUGAUGGGUUGGGAAGGAUAUUGCGUCGCAAUAUUGGGAAUAUUUCUGUUUUAAACAACAAAGCCAAGAUAAUGGAUAUCACACAAGCAACGUGCAAACUUUGUGCAAGAGUGAACAUCUUAAACUAUUCACAUACAGAAAGAGAAAGUGAAAACUGACGGCGCUGUGGGCAUCUCACGCUGCAUUAACCAAAAAUAUUAUUCUCUCAGAGACGACAAGAGACGAAACUACUUCAGCAUAUAGCUAUAAUGGUAUAUAUCUGUCUUAGAUUAUUCCCUUAAUAUUUCUCUUGUGGCCUGCAUAGUGAAAACAUCAGAAGAAAUGUGUUUCGCGUUAAACAGGUUGUUUUUGAAAAUCAGUGCAUGAAAUAAAGCUGCUCUUAAUUUUCA